GGUUAAGCGACUAAGCGUACACGGUGGAUGCCCUGGCAGUCAGAGGCGAUGAAGGACGUGCUAAUCUGCGAAAAGCGUCGGUAAGGUGAUAUGAACCGUUACAGCCGGCGAUGUCCGAAUGGGGAAACCCAGUGUGAUUCGUCACACUAUCGUUAACUGAAUACAUAGGUUAACGAGGCGAACCGGGGGAACUGAAACAUCUAAGUACCCCGAGGAAAAGAAAUCAACCGAGAUUCCCCCAGUAGCGGCGAGCGAACGGGGAGCAGCCCAGAGUCUGAAUCAGCUUGUGUGUUAGUGGAACGGUCUGGAAAGUCCGACGGUACAGGGUGAUAGUCCCGUACACCAAAAUGCACAGGCUGUGAACUCGAAGAGUAGGGCGGGACACGUGGUAUCCUGUCUGAAUAUGGGGGGACCAUCCUCCAAGGCUAAAUACUCCUGACUGACCGAUAGUGAACCAGUACCGUGAGGGAAAGGCGAAAAGAACCCCGGCGAGGGGAGUGAAAAAGAACCUGAAACCGUGUACGUACAAGCAGUGGGAGCACCUUCGGGUGUGACUGCGUACCUUUUGUAUAAUGGGUCAGCGACUUAUAUUCUGUAGCAAGGUUAACCGUAUAGGGGAGCCGCAGGGAAACCGAGUCUUAACUGGGCGUUAAGUUGCAGGGUAUAGACCCGAAACCCGGUGAUCUAGCCAUGGGCAGGUUGAAGGUUGGGUAACACUAACUGGAGGACCGAACCGACUAAUGUUGAAAAAUUAGCGGAUGACUUGUGGCUGGGGGUGAAAGGCCAAUCAAACCGGGAGAUAGCUGGUUCUCCCCGAAAGCUAUUUAGGUAGCGCCUCGUGAAUUCAUCUUCGGGGGUAGAGCACUGUUUCGGCUAGGGGGUCAUCCCGACUUACCAACCCGAUGCAAACUACGAAUACCGAAGAAUGUUAUCACGGGAGACACACGGCGGGUGCUAACGUCCGUCGUGAAGAGGGAAACAACCCAGACCGCCAGCUAAGGUCCCAAAGUCAUGGUUAAGUGGGAAACGAUGUGGGAAGGCACAGACAGCCAGGAUGUUGGCUUAGAAGCAGCCAUCAUUUAAAGAAAGCGUAAUAGCUCACUGGUCGAGUCGGCCUGCGCGGAAGAUGUAACGGGGCUAAACCAUGCACCGAAGCUGCGGCAGCGACACUAUGUGUUGUUGGGUAGGGGAGCGUUCUGUAAGCCUGCGAAGGUGACCUGUGAGGGUUGCUGGAGGUAUCAGAAGUGCGAAUGCUGACAUAAGUAACGAUAAAGCGGGUGAAAAGCCCGCUCGCCGGAAGACCAAGGGUUCCUGUCCAACGUUAAUCGGGGCAGGGUGAGUCGACCCCUAAGGCGAGGCCGAAAGGCGUAGUCGAUGGGAAACAGGUUAAUAUUCCUGUACUUGGUGUUACUGCGAAGGGGGACGGAGAAGGCUAUGUUAGCCGGGCGACGGUUGUCCCGGUUUAAGCAUGUAGGCUGGUUAUCCAGGCAAAUCCGGAUAAUCAAGGCUGAGGUGUGAUGACGAGGCACUACGGUGCUGAAGUAACAAAUGCCCUGCUUCCAGGAAAAGCCUCUAAGCAUCAGGUAACAUUAAAUCGUACCCCAAACCGACACAGGUGGUCAGGUAGAGAAUACCAAGGCGCUUGAGAGAACUCGGGUGAAGGAACUAGGCAAAAUGGUGCCGUAACUUCGGGAGAAGGCACGCUGGUGUGUAGGUGAAGUCCCUGCGGAUGGAGCUGAGACCAGUCGAAGAUACCAGCUGGCUGCAACUGUUUAUUAAAAACACAGCACUGUGCAAACACGAAAGUGGACGUAUACGGUGUGACGCCUGCCCGGUGCCGGAAGGUUAAUUGAUGGGGUUAUCCGUAAGGAGAAGCUCUUGAUCGAAGCCCCGGUAAACGGCGGCCGUAACUAUAACGGUCCUAAGGUAGCGAAAUUCCUUGUCGGGUAAGUUCCGACCUGCACGAAUGGCGUAAUGAUGGCCAGGCUGUCUCCACCCGAGACUCAGUGAAAUUGAACUCGCUGUGAAGAUGCAGUGUACCCGCGGCAAGACGGAAAGACCCCGUGAACCUUUACUAUAGCUUGACACUGAACAUUGAGCCUUGAUGUGUAGGAUAGGUGGGAGGCUUUGAAGCGUGGACGCCAGUCUGCGUGGAGCCGACCUUGAAAUACCACCCUUUAAUGUUUGAUGUUCUAACGUUGGCCCCUUACCGGGGUUGCGGACAGUGUCUGGUGGGUAGUUUGACUGGGGCGGUCUCCUCCCAAAGCGUAACGGAGGAGCACGAAGGUUAGCUAAUCCUGGUCGGACAUCAGGAGGUUAGUGCAAUGGCAUAAGCUAGCUUGACUGCGAGCGUGACGGCGCGAGCAGGUGCGAAAGCAGGUCAUAGUGAUCCGGUGGUUCUGAAUGGAAGGGCCAUCGCUCAACGGAUAAAAGGUACUCCGGGGAUAACAGGCUGAUACCGCCCAAGAGUUCAUAUCGACGGCGGUGUUUGGCACCUCGAUGUCGGCUCAUCACAUCCUGGGGCUGAAGUAGGUCCCAAGGGUAUGGCUGUUCGCCAUUUAAAGUGGUACGCGAGCUGGGUUUAGAACGUCGUGAGACAGUUCGGUCCCUAUCUGCCGUGGGCGCUGGAGAAUUGAGGGGGGCUGCUCCUAGUACGAGAGGACCGGAGUGGACGCAUCACUGGUGUUCGGGUUGUCAUGCCAAUGGCACUGCCCGGUAGCUAAAUGCGGAAGAGAUAAGUGCUGAAAGCAUCUAAGCACGAAACUUGCCCCGAGAUGAGUUCUCCCUGAGACUUUAAGUCUCCUGAAGGAACGUUGAAGACGACGACGUUGAUAGGCCGGGUGUGUAAGCGCAGCGAUGCGUUGAGCUAACCGGUACUAAUGAACCGUGAGGCUUAACCUU
rnacentral:rRNA from 1 species